rnacentral:lncRNA from 1 species
ACUAAUCGAAGCUCUGAAACACGCUUUCGCGGUUAGGAUGAACCUUGCUGAUCCAGAUUUUGUAGAUGUUACUAAGGUUGUUUCAGAUAUGCUGUCUCCGGAAUUUGCAAAAGACUUGAAGACCAAGAUAAACGAUGACAAAACCUUUGAUCCAAAAUAUUAUGGCGGCAUGUAAGGCGUUUUUCAUAUCUUAAACCCACUCGCUGGUUUCUUCUUCUUUUUUUUUCUUGAUUUAUUAAUAAUAUUCGUUUCUCCAACUCUGUAGGUGGAAUCAAAUCAACCAUCAUGGAACAUGCCAUUUCUCGAUCAUAGAUAGCGAGAGGAACGCUGUUUCGAUGACUAGUUCAGUAAACGGUUACUUUGGGGCAGUGAUGCUAUCUCCAAGCACUGGAAUCGUUCUAAACAACCAAAUGGAUGAUUUCACGAUCCCAGCAAAGUCCAGCGGUGACCUAAAUGUGCCUCCUCCAGCACCGGCUAGCUUCAUCAGACCCGGGAAACGACCAUUGUCCUCAAUGUCACCCACCAUUGUGCUCAAGGUUUAGGAAAAAAAAAACACACUUGUUACUUGUCUUACACGAAAUUCUUAGUUAGGCUCCAAACAAUGGGUUUCAUGCGCUUUGUUUAUGUAGGACGGCAAAGUGAAAGCUGUGGUGGGUGCUAGCGGUGGAGCGAACAUCAUCGCCGCGACAACAGAAGUUUUCUUGAAUCAUUUUUUCCUCAACAUGGAUCCUCUUUCUUCUGUUUUGGCUCCAAGAAUCUACCAUCAGGUCAUUUGCUUCUCUUUUUUUUCUUCUUAUACCCCAAGAAUAAUCUUUCUUGUUCUUUGUCUAUAACUAAGAAAAUGUUUUUUUUUUUAAUUUAUAAUUCCAUUGUGCAGCUGAUACCAAACAAAAUUUCGUUUGAGAAUUUGACGACAGUGUUCGGUGAUCAUUUCGAGAUACCUAAAGAGACAAGAGUUGUGUUGGAAAAGAAAGGUCAUGUUCUAACGCCAAUGACCGGAGCGACGAUUGUUCAGUUCAUAGUUCAAGAAUCCGAUGGAAAUGUCGGCGGAAUGAGUAAGCUUCUGGCAGUUAGUGAUCCAAGGAAAGGAGGGUUCCCCUCAGGAUAUUGAAUUAUUGAGAUUGUAUUUAGUUUUGCUGCCAUUUAACAUUUAUUGACGAAUAAAAUAAAUAAAAUUUUGUACUGUCUUUUUCUUUCUUUUUGCAAUAAUGUUGAUCCAGAUAUAUAUGUAUAUUUCUACAAUCUUAAUAUGGGGAAUAUAGGAAUUAGAGGUUCCAUUAAACAACCAACCUUAAUUCUCAUGUACGUUAACGUUAGUGUGGGUUUGUGACGUAGGAGCUACAUAUAAGUUAAGUUCAUUUCAUUCAUAGCUAGAUCAUAUCAAACUUUGUGGUCUACCAUGAAAAAAUAAUGACAAUACGAUUGGAUCUACCUUGAGAAUAAUUCUUUGUGACAUAACAUCUCGGGUGAUGUCUAUGAAAAAGGAUACAUGAAUUUUUGUUUGUAUACCCCCAAAGGAGUGCCAUGCACAGAGAGCAUCAUCUCUCCAGGUUUUGGUUGCCUCCGAGUCUUUGGUGCUGUCAUCCCAAAAUGAAGAAGUCUUUGCCCUCCAUUUACCUGCAAAGUUUACUAUUGUCAUUCUAAAACACUCCAAACUAAUGAGAUAUCAGUUUUUUAACAAGAGUAUAAAACAAGAAUACAAUCAUGAAUACAUAUACCAUAGAAAACGAGAGUUUGAAAGGCAGAACAGUACAAGAUCCAUUUUAAAGGGUAGCCACCAAGAGAUGAAUCACCAGUAUUGUGAUUCCACUUGAACUCAAUCUCCCCAUUAUCUUCGACUUCGAUAGAGACAUCAGGAAGGUUCUCUUUGAAGAAGUCCAACACAGGUGUCUCUAACUGUUCCUCAGAGAACGUUGAGCAGAGUAACCUCUGUGCAGUUAAGCUCUGUUCAAUCUCAAUAUCACGGAUUGCCUUAAUCGCAUCAAUACGUCUUUCAACUACACAAUAUCAUCAGAUCCAAAGUUCAUCUCAAAAAUCAUUAAUUCUACAAAUUUGAUUAACGAUUGGUAUCUUCUUCUUCAUGUUUCUUCUCUUCUCUCCGAAUCUCUUUGUCGCUCUCGUCCUUGUUUUCUUCUUCAGUGAGUCUGACAACUUCUUUUGCUUUUCGCUUCGGCAUUAUCGACACUUCUAAUUCGAGAUUGAGCUUCAAACCCCCAAAACUGGAAUUUGAAUAGACGACACAGACAUUAUUAAAUGAGCGGGGGAGAUUAGUAGGUUCAAAUGAAAUUAAACAAAUGCUUGGCAGACACUACCAAAUAACGGUUCUACCCUCGAUUAGAAUAAGGCUUAUGAGCCCAUUAAUAUUAGAGUCAUCGAAUAACAUUUCGUUAAAAGGCCAUUUUGUUCCCUAUAGGCCCGGACAUCCAUUUUUAUACUAAAAGAAGAUGUUGUGGUGUGAUUGAUUGUGACGAGAGAUAUUUCCUUUUUAAAGAAAACCUAUGAUUCCACUCUUUUUUUUUUCACACUCCACGAGGGACAAGCAUGAUGCAGACGAGCACUUGGUUUUAUGACCAAUUAACAAAUUCGCAUUUAAAAAGUUGGCACGGCCUUCUUUCUAAAAACCUCACGGGUUUGUUUACUUCAAAAUUAUAAGUAAUAUUUUUUUUAUUUUUUUUUUAGUGAAAAUGUGUAAAUUGUCAAAUGAUUAACUUGGAUUAAGAUCUUACCACAAACUGUUUCUUUUUUCUGCUAUUUAUUUGGUGAUUUUCAAAAAUAAGCCAUGUGGAGUGUUGGACCAGCUUUGUGUAUUUAUUACAUAGUUGAAAAAAAUAGAGUAUAUUCUCUAUAUAAUUAAAGACUUUACGUCAUUAAAAAAAACUUUAUCAACGUGAGAGGCAAAAAAAAAUAGAAACUUUUUCAAAAAGACUAGGUGACUUUUGAGGAAUGGAUAUAAAGAAGAGAACUCAAAUGAGACUUUCGGCCAGAGACUUAAAAAUCAUCCGAAUAGAUCUACUAUUGCCUGCCAAGGACGACAACUUAUAAGAAAGUGACGUCUCGAUGAAUUGUAAGUUUUUCUACUCUUGUAUAUUUUGUUUAACCAACCAUCCGGUAUUUUCUCACCUAGUCUCUCAACGUUUCGUAUAUAAUCUGAAGUUACAGACUGGACCAUGGUUUCUCAUUUUCUGGAUUUUUACAUGCAAAUUUAGAACUUGGACUUGGUAAAUUUUGAAUGGCUUUAUUAGCUCAGAACACAAGUACUCGUUUUUUGAGCUUCGUUUUAUUGGUCAACACAUUAAGAUAAAGUUUUUUUGUUGGGUGUUGAGCUAUAUUGUCUAUACGCGUGAUGGCUAAUUUAAACUUUUCAAUAUUUGACCAUUAGUAUAUUUUCAAUUUCUGAACAAGGUCGAACUAUUCUCUGAAUUUAUAUUUACACGACGAAUCUUGGAUCAUCCCAGCGUUAAAGAUCAUCUGUGAGAAAUCUCUGGUUUGAUUUGAUUCUUGUAUUAAUCGCAGCAAUGCCACUGGUUCGGACAGCGUUGAUCGCUCUUUUUCUAGUCGCUUUUCUGCAAAACGCCGCGGCUCAGAAAAGACCGCAAAGUAUUGUUAAGUCUCGUGGUGCGGUUGCAACUGACGAUGGACGGUGUUCAGUGAUCGGGAUGAGUGUUCUUAGGCAAGGAGGAAACGCUAUUGAUGCGUCGGUGGCAGCUGCUCUCUGUCUAGGCGUUGUGAGUCCAGCCUCUAGCGGUAUAGGAGGUGGAGCAUUUACAGUGGUUAAGAUAGCUGGCGGGAAGGCUAUCGCCUAUGAUUCUAGAGAAACAGCUCCUCUCGGCGCCACUGAGGUAACAACGGUCAUAGUAAUAACGUCUUUCUUUUUGCAAUAUGCGUUUUGAAAUAUGAGUUUGCUCUUUGGUGUAGAACAUUAAAUCAUUAAUGUAGGUAAUAGCGUCUCUGUUCUGAGCUUUCUUAAAUCGUUAUUUUGAACGCGCUUUUGAGCUCAAAUAGCGUUUUGUUACAUAUGUUCUUCUUAGAUAAGCGUUUAAAUGUGAUCUUCAGCCUAAUAGGCGGCUUGAAUCAUAGAAUGUGUGCAGGUAAUAGCGUUUCUUGACAUUUUUCUUCUGAUUAAAUAUACCAGGAAACGCUCUCUUGAACUUAGAUCUCAACGUUUAUGAAUCAUAGACAGUCUUGGUUAUAUAGAAUAAUGCAACAGGGUUUCUCAUCGUUUAUUCACAUACUCGUUUUGGACAUUUAUAAUUGGUUGAUUUUCUUGAUGUAGGAUAUGUAUGGAAGCAAUCCUGAUCUAAAGAAGAAAGGAGCCUUAUCAGCAGGCGUUCCAGGGGAAGUCGCGGGUCUAUUCACAGCUUGGAAACAACACGGAAAGCUCCCAUGGAAACAGUUAGUGACUCCUGCAGAGAAACUUGCAGAAGGAUUCAGGGUUUCAAAGUAUCUCUACAUGCAGAUGAACGCCACAAGAGUCGAUAUCUUGGCAGACAAAGGUCUCUCUGAGCUAUUUGUUUCAAAUGGAGAGCUCAAGAAACCAGGGACCAUUAUCCAUAACACAAAAUUAGCAUUUACACUCAAGCAAAUCGGUGAAUAUGGUCCAAAAGCGUUUUACAAUGGCACGGUCGGGGUUAACCUAGCUAGAGAUAUUCGUAAAGCUGGUGGGGUAAUAACUUUGAAAGAUCUGCAAAGUUAUAGAGUUAAGGUUACCAAACCGUUGUCUGCAAACAUUCUCGGGUACGAACUACUCGGUAUGCCUCCUCCUUCAUCAGGUGGUGCUGCAAUGAUGCUUGUAAGUCCCAUUUUAUAGAGAAUUUUUUCACAUUUUAUUAGACCAAGGUUUUCACAGAGUUUCUUGUAGUGCAGGUUUUGAACAUUCUUUCUCAAUAUGGGAUUCCUUCAGGUGUUUCUGGCUCUCUAGGUGUUCAUCGACUAAUCGAAGCUCUGAAACACGCUUUCGCUGUUAGGAUGAACCUUGCUGAUCCAGAUUUUGUAGAUGUUACUAAGGUCGUUUCAGACAUGCUGUCUCCGGAAUUUGCAAAAGACUUGAAGAAGAAGAUAAACGAUGACAAAACCUUUGAUCCAAAAUAUUAUGGUGGCAUGUAAGACCUUUUCAUAUGCUGGUUUCUUUUUUGUUUCUUGAUUUAUCAAUAUAAUUAAAUUUUUUUCCAUUUUUUAGGUGGAAUCAAAUAGACGAUCAUGG